AACGUAGGAGGCGAGCGUUAUCCGGAUUUACUGGGCGUAAAGCGCGUGCAGGCGGCUUAGAAAGUUGGAUGUGAAAGCUCCCGGCUCAACUGGGAGAGGUCGUUCAAGACUUCUAGGCUAGAGGGUGGUAGAGGGAGGUGGAAUUCCGGGUGUAGUGGUGAAAUGCGUAGAUAUCCGGAGGAACACCAGUGGCGAAAGCGGCCUCCUGGACCAUCUCUGACGCUCAGACGCGAAAGCUAGGGUAG
rnacentral:rRNA from 1 species